rnacentral:rRNA from 1 species
AGAAUCAACGCUGGCGGCGUGCCUAACACAUGCAAGUCGAACGGGAAAGUGGAGCAAUCCAUGAGUAUAGUGGCGACCGGGUGAGUAACGCGUGACUAACCUACCCUUGAGUGGGGAAUAACUUCGGGAAACCGAGGCUAAUACCGCAUAACACCUACGGGUCAAAGGAGCAAUUCGCUUAAGGAGGGGGUCGCGGCAGAUUAGUUAGUUGGCGGGGUAAUGGCCCACCAAGACGGUGAUCUGUA